rnacentral:rRNA from 1 species
GGGACGUAACAAAGCGACCCAGGAAUACUUGGGCGUGCCUCCACCCACGCCGGCGUCGGCGGGCGUAUUUCGCCUCACAGUAGGUCGCCGCGACCCGUUGCUUUUGGGGACGUCGAAGGCCCGGACGGAUUGGUACCCUACCGGCUGGGGAUGCGGCUUCGGCUUCUCCUCUUGUCCGGUGGGCGAAACCGCCGGUGUCCUGGCUGCCCUGCGACGGUCGUAGAGACGAGCCCUCCCCCAUUCGUGGGGGGCGGCUCUCGCGGCGUGCAAAAGGUCGGUGAUCCACCCGACCCGUCUUGAAACACGGACCAAGGAGUCUAACAUGUGUGCGAGUCAGUGGGCGCACUAAACCCAGAGGCGUAAUGAAAGUGACACGGGUUCGGCUGUCGCCUCGUGUGGCAGCCGGACUCAGGGCCGAUCCCUCACCGGUUGCCCUCGCCUCUCUCCCGCGUCUCGGUAAGCCGGGUGAGCUAUUUUCCCCGGCCAAUGCUGCGGGGCUCGGGGGGA